GGGGGAAUAGUUUAAUGGUAAAAUGUUGGUCUCCAAAACCAGUGUUGAGAGUUCAAGUCUCUCUUCCCCUGCCA
rnacentral:tRNA from 1 species